GCCGCUGCAAAAUCAGUGGCCGGGAUUGGCGUCCCGGAAUAGCUCAGGUGGACAUACCGCCAUUAGCGCGGUUUUUUU
rnacentral:sRNA from 1 species